rnacentral:sRNA from 1 species
GCUGGGUGUGGUGGUGCACACCUGUAAACCCAGCAGCUGUGGAGGCUGACACAGGAGGAUCGUGAGUUCAAAGUCAGCCUCAGCAAGGCCCUAGGCAACUCAGUGAGACCCUGUCUCUA